CCUACGGGAGGCAGCAGUGAGGAAUAUUGGUCAAUGGGCGGGAACCUGAACCAGCCAAGUCGCGUGAGGGAAGACGGUCCUAUGGAUUGUAAACCUCUUUAGGCGGGGAGCAAUGCCGGGCACGUGUGCCCGGAGGGAGAGUACCCGCAGAAUAAGCAUCGGCUAACUCCGUGCCAGCAGCCGCGGUAAUACGGAGGAUGCGAGCGUUAUCCGGAUUGAUUGGGUUUAAAGGGUGCGUAGGCGGAUUUUUAAGUCAGCGGUAAAAUGUCCGGGCUCAACCCGGGCCGGCCGUUGAAACUGGGGAUCUUGAGUGGGCGAGAAGUAUGCGGAAUGCGUGGUGUAGCGGUGAAAUGCAUAGAUAUCACGCUGAACUCCGAUUGCGAAGGCAGCAUACCGGCGCCCGACUGACGCUGAGGCACGAAAGCGUGGGGAUCGAACAGGAUUAGAUACCCUUGUAGUC
rnacentral:rRNA from 1 species